UUAACACAUGCAAGUCGAACGGCAGCACGGAGAGCUUGCUCUCUGGUGGCGAGUGGUGAACGGGUGAGUAAUAUAUCGGAACGUGUCCAAUAAUGGGGGAUAACGAGUCGAAAGAUUCGCUAAUACCGCAUACGCCCUACGGGGGAAAGCAGGGGAUCGUAAGACCUUGCGUUAAUGGAGCGGCCGAUAUCUGAUUAGCUUGUUGGUGAGGUAAAGGCUCACCAAGGCGACGAUCAGUAGCUGGUUUGAGAGAACGACCAGCCACACUGGAACUGAGACACGGUCCAGACUCCUACGGGAGGCAGCAGUGGGGAAUUUUGGACAAUGGGGGCAACCCUGAUCCAGCCAUUCCGCGUGAGUGAAGAAGGCCCUCGGGUUGUAAAGCUCUUUCGCAAGGGAAGAAAACUUAUGAUCGAAUAAAUCAUGAGGUUGACGGUACCUUGAUAAGAAGCACCGGCUAACUACGUGCCAGCAGCCGCGGUAAUACGUAGGGUGCGAGCGUUAAUCGGAAUUACUGGGCGUAAAGCGUGCGCAGGCGGUUUUGUAAGUCGGAUGUGAAAUCCCCGGGCUCAACCUGGGAACUGCGUUCGAAACUGCAAGGCUAGAGUGUGUCAGAGGGGGGUAGAAUUCCACGUGUAGCAGUGAAAUGCGUAGAGAUGUGGAGGAAUACCAAUGGCGAAGGCAGCCCCCUGGGAUAACACUGACGCUCAUGCACGAAAGCGUGGGGAGCAAACAGGAUUAGAUACCCUGGUAGUCCACGCCCUAAACGAUGUCAACUAGUUGUUGGUAGAGUAAAAUCUAUGAGUAACGUAGCUAACGCGUGAAGUUGACCGCCUGGGGAGUACGGUCGCAAGAUUAAAACUCAAAGGAAUUGACGG
rnacentral:rRNA from 1 species